rnacentral:lncRNA from 1 species
AAGAAAACUAACAUGAAAAAGUAUGAAAAUUAACAUGAAAAUGCAUGAAAUAUGGGGGAUAGGAUUAUACCUUUUAAAGCUUCUCCUAAUUUUUUCUUUUUUCCUUCCUUAUCAAGUUACAAUUGCUACUGCCUCCUCUCUAUUUCCAGCCUUACAUAAUGAAUAUAAAGGCCAUGCAAAAGCUUUCUAACCCUUGCUCAUUUCUUCAUCCAGUUGCUCCUUAUUAGCUCAUAUGUUUAUUCAUUAAGCAAUCACUUUUUACUCUUAGAUCUAGCCUCUUGAAAGAUCAAUGGCCCAUAAUGAAUUUAGCACAAAAUAUAACUUUUAGUGUGGCUGUAACAAUGGGAAAGACUAAUUCACCCUUACUAAAAGUUUAUCCAAUUUGUAUGAUUUUCUUAGAAAACCAUGAUCCCAUCUUUCUUUUUGUGAUUUUAAUGAACAAAAAAUCAUAAAAUAAUACUUAAUCGUGCUCUGAAGCUUUUCUUGAAAAAUUGACUUCUGAAAGAUUAAAUUAUGAAAAAUACCCUUAAAGGGUAUUUUAAUAAUUUCAUACAUUUAGAGGUGUGAUCAAGGGUUUUAAUGUAUCAAAAAUUAUAAAAUAAUAUCAAAACAUGAUUUCAAGCUUUUUGCGAAAAGCCAAUAUCAAGAUGGUCAAAUUAUGAAAAUAUCCAAAAAAAAUUUUAGUAAUUUCAUGCAUUUCAAGACGCUAUCAAGAUUUUCAAUGCAUCAAAAAUCAUAAAAUAAUAUCAAAACGUGAUCUAAAGCUUUUCGUGAAAAAUCAACUUCAAAAAAUUUAAAUUACAAAAAUACCCCUGAAUGGCAUGUUGAUAAUUUCAUACCUUUUGAAGUGCAAUCAACAUUUUUAAUGCAUAACAAUCAUAAAAUAAUAUUUAAACAUGUUUUGAAUGUUUUCACAACAGACCAACCUCUAAAAGGUCAAGUUAUGAAAACAUCCCUAAAGAGUAUUUAGUAAUUUUACUCCUCCCAAAGUUUAAUAAGGGUUUUUAUUGCAUUAAAAACACAAAUUCCAAUCCCAAGCCUUAUUAAUCCCAUUCGGUUAUGAAUUCUAAAGAUUCACUCAAGUUUAACUUAGUUUGACCAAUUUUAACAAGGUUUGGCUCUAUUUGACCAAGUUUAAUCACAAGACAUUUUGGGUCAAAUUGAUCUCAAAUUGAAUUUUGAAAAUUCAUCAAUAUUAAAGAAAUGUUGGAUUCAAAUUGGGCCAGACUUUAAAAAUCUCACAACUAGUUAGAAUUUACCUGGAUAAAAUUAGGUGUCGACAUUUCUCCCAUGCAAUCUUGUGAUAUCUUAUGCACUUUAACUCCAAAAUCUAGCCAAAUUAUCUCAAAAUUCAUCUUUUUCCAUUUUCUAAAUUUUUUCCUACACAUGCAUAAAUUAAACAAAUUAAGGAGGGAAACUAAAUUAAGGAGGGAAACUAAAUUAUUUUACCAAGAACUAAGCAAAAUUCAUAAAAUUAAGCACUAAAAAAUAAGUCUAAAUAACUUUAUUUUAUAGAGUUAUAUUUAGCAUGGCUAGAUAUACCUUGUUUGCCUCUAAAGGCAAAGGAAAGGGUAAAGCCUUUCAACCCGAUGCUCAGCUGCCUAGUUCAAACAUUAAGAUUUUUUUAGAGCACCUCAGCAUUCCCAAAUCAAAAGCAAUUCCCAGUAACCAUGGCCAAACUCAAAAAAAAAAGUGGUGGUUACUAAGUAGUUAUCGUAACAGUUUUGGGGACCAUUAGAUGAAUUUGAAAACAAAAAGAAGUCACCACCAAGCUUUUUUAGCUAGGUGCAAUUGGUCACAUAUUAAAACUUACCUUUUUAAUAAAAAUUUUAAAAUUAAUUAAAAUUUUAUCAAAAAGAUAAUUUUUUGAGUCAGCGAAAACAAUUUAGGUUCAAGAGUUAGUUAUGCGUAAGGAAAGAUUAGCAUCCCUACAAUGCUUGUUUAAAAUGAUACCGAUUAAUUAUGUAUUAUCUUUUUAAUUAUAAGUAAAAUGAUCUUAAUUUUCAUAUUUAGAAUUAAUUUUUCUUAAUUUUCUUUAUUGUAGUAAAAACAUAUUUUUAUUUUUAUUAGUU